AUUGAACGCUGGCGGAAUGCUUUACACAUGCAAGUCGAGCGGCAGCACGGGGGCAACCCUGGUGGCGAGCGGCGAACGGGUGAGUAACACAUCGGAACAUGCCCAGUCGUGGGGGAUAACACUUCGAAAGAAGUGCUAAUACCGCAUACGUCCUGAGGGAGAAAGCGGGGGAUCGCAAGACCUCGCGCGAUUGGAGUGGCCGAUGUCAGAUUAGCUAGUUGGUGGGGUAAAGGCCUACCAAGGCAACGAUCUGUAGCUGGUCUGAGAGGAUGAUCAGCCACACUGGACCUGAGACACGGCCCAGACUCCUACGGGAGGCAGCAGUGGGGAAUUUUGGACAAUGGGGCAACCCUGAUCCAGCCAUUCCGCGUGAGUGAAGAAGGCCUUCGGGUUGUAAAGCUCUUUCGGCAGGAACGAAACGGUGAGCUCUAACAUAGCUUGCUAAUGACGGUACCUGAAGAAGAAGCACCGGCUAACUACGUG
rnacentral:rRNA from 1 species